UUCACAGUCUUGUCUGUCAAACACCUUCAGUUGUAAAUAGUACACCUCUUGCUUGCUUCAGCUUUAGAUAUUAAUUCAGUUCACUGCUAUGUUCCAUUCCUAAUAGAUAUAUUUUGGUUCUUUUUAGUUCAGUGAGUGCUUGAUAGUACUAAUUUCUAUUAACAUUUAGCUUUUAUUCGGAUUAUUUAGUAUUGUUAGUUAAACUCACUAAGACACCUGUACUGCUCUCAUGUUGUUUUCAAUGCCAUGCAAACUUUUACAUUUUUGUUCAGUGGGGUUCUUCCACCCACUUUAUAUAGUGAGUAUGAUGUCAUGGUCUGGAAUAGUUACUCUGGUUAGCUUGGACCACCUGUCCUGGUUGUGUCUAUUCCCAACCUCCCAUGUCCUCCAACUCCCUUGAGAGUGUGGCUGUACAACAAGCAGAAAAGGCAUCUGUGUAAGCCCUGCUCAGCAAUAACAUAAACAUCUCUGUCAUCAAUUCUGUCUUCAGCAAAAAUCCAAAACACAUCUCCAUACUAAUUACUAGGAAGAAAUUUAAUUCUACUCCAGCCAAAAGCAGCACAUUCCAUCCCUUAUUCUGUACCACUUACAUCCUGCUCAGGUCCCACAGCAUUCAGUACAUCACUGCCCACCACCUCUCUUCCUCCUCCGUAAUAUAAUACUCAGACAUUGUUUCCCGCUUGAGUUCAUUUAGUCAACAACUUUGGGCUUCAUCUCUUAUGGUGGUCACAAGGGACAAGAGAGGCGGUGUGUGAUGUGGAGUUACUGGACACCAAAGCCAGCUCAGGCCAGGUCACUGCUCACUGAAACUGCUUCUUGUAAGUCUUCCCGUGUUGGUUCAGAUGGUUCCUGAUCUAUUAAGUCCUGUAAUAAUCAACUCAAAUGGCUUAUAAAAAUUUAUAUAUAAAUCCAUCACAAUCUCCACUGAUUGUCUUUUGGCCCUGGUUUUAGGGUUUAACAUUGCAAUAAACUCCUCCCUUUGUCCCCAGCUUGGUUGCAAUAAGGGGCUCCUGUUACAGAGUAAGUUCACCAUCAGUAUAGUCCACAUCAUAGUCCUCCAUGGGCUGCAGGGGCCCAGCUGCACCAACAUGGUCUUCACUGCGGGCUGCAAGUGAAUCUUGGCUUCUCCUGCUCCAGCAUGGGGUCCCACCCGCAGGAGAUAAUCCUCCUUGCACUUGUCCAUUAUGGGUCCUUCUCAUGAGCUGCAGUUCUUCACAAGGCUCUCCUGUGUGGGACCUCUGUGAGGUCACAAGUCCUGCCAGCAAGGACUUAAAAGGAGCAAGAACUUUAACCCAGGUAGUUGUUCUAAGGGAACCACAGUCCCAGUAGGAAAGGGGAGGUGGGAACCAGCCCCUUCACAGCCCUGAGACAGUUGUUUCCCAGGAAAAGCCAAAGGGUGCAUCAGCAUCCCGGCAAGUGGCUGUUUACUGGGAAGAGGACCCAACCCUGGCCAGGCAGGAGGUGGAAUAAGGAGGAAACAACUCUAAACACAGGGAAAGAUGGGGCUCCAGGUGCUCAUCCCGGCAAGCUCCCUGCGGCAAUCCUGCUCUGUCACAGGAAUCUCACAAGGUCACAUCCUCCUUCAGGCACUCACCUGCUCUGGUAUGAUACGUCCUUUUCCCAAGUGGUGAGAAAUUGUUCUUCAUUUCAGAUAUGUGUAUACCAAGACUCAAGGAGUAGUUAUUAAUCUACUGGUAGCAGUACUCCCUCAGCUGAAACACUUUGCCUGCUUUAAGCACAGCACUUUGGGAAAGAAUUUUGGUGGAGAAUAUCAAGAGACAAGCAAUGAAAAUGGUUUCCUUGCUAAUGAGCUGCUAAGAUAUGGACUGGGCAGAAGAAUAGCAAAACUGAUGGGAAUUGAAUACACACCAAGUUUGUAGAUGGCAUCAAAUUGGGAAGAGAAGUACAUGAGUCUGGACAGAGGAGUCUCAAUCCAUCUGAUAUCUGCAGGCUAGAAAACAGACCAGCAAGAACUCCAUAAAAAUUAACAAAAAGUAAAUAUUAAAUCCUGCUCUUGGGACAGAAUAAUUAUAAUCUCUAUAUCUAAAAGCUAGGGUCUGAUAGCUGAGGAUCAAAUGCAGUUAAAAGGUCCUGGGAUUCCAGGGGCUCAAUAUGACUCAAAAGUGUGUCUUGGCAGCAAGGAAGGGCAAUAGCUUCCAGGUGUGAAUCUGAAAAAUAUACCAGCAGACUGUAGGAUUGUUCCACACUACUCAACAUGUGGUAUGCCACACAUGGGAAAGUAAACUGAUCCUUCUAGCUGAAGAGAGACAUUGAUAUAUCCAUACAUGACUGCCAAGAUGAUGAGAUAUCUUGGGAAGAUAUGAAGAAAACGUUGAGGGAACUGAAUCUGUUCCACCUCAAGAACAGAAGUCUGGUCGGAUGUAGAUGGAGGAGAACCAUAUUCCAAUCACACUCAUUAAAUUAAAAGCACUUACAGAGAAGAUGGAUAAAU